GCUACACAUGCAGUCGAACGGAGAAUCAGCAAUGGUUCUUAGUGGCGAACGGGUGAGUAACGCGUAGACAACCUGCCUCAAAGAUGGGGACAACACCGCGAAAGUGGUGCUAAUACCGAAUGUUGCAUUGGAUUCGCAUGAAUCUGAUACUAAAGGUGGCCUCUUUAAAUGCUACCGCUUUGAGAUGGGUCUGCGUCUGAUUAGCUAGUUGGUGAGGUAACAGCUCACCAAGGCGAUGAUCAGUAGCCGGUCUGAGAGGAUGAACGGCCACACUGGGACUGAGACACGGCCCAGACUCCUACGGGAGGCAGCAGUGGGGAAUCUUCCGCAAUGGACGAAAGUCUGACGGAGCAACGCCGCGUGAGUGAAGAAGGUUUUCGGAUCGUAAAGCUCUGUCUUUGAGGACGAAUGUGCUUAAUGUAAAUAAUGUUAAGUAAUGACGGUACUCGAGGAGGAAGCCACGGCUAACUACGUGCCAGCAGCCGCGGUAAUAUGUAGGUGGCAAGCGUUGUCCGGAAUUAUUGGGCGUAAAGCGCGCGCAGGCGGGAUAUUAAGUCUGUCUUAAAAGUUCGGGGCUCAACCCCGUGAUGGGAUGGAAACUAAUAUUCUUGAGUGCAGGAGAGGAAAGUGGAAUUCCCAGUGUAGCGGUGAAAUGCGUAGAUAUUGGGAGGAACACCAGUGGCGAAGGCGACUUUCUGGACUGUGUCUGACGCUGAGGCGCGAAAGCCAGGGGAGUGAACGGGAUUAGAUACCCCGGUAAUCCUGGCCGUAAACGAUGGGUACUAGGUGUAGGAGGUAUCGACCCCUUCUGUGCCGGAGUUAACGCAAUAAGUACCCCGCCUGGGGAGUACGGCCGCAAGGUUGAAACUCAAGGAAUUGACGGGGGCCCGCACAAGCGGUGGAGUAUGUGGUUUAAUUCGACGCACGCGAGACCUUACCAGGACUUGACAUCGAUUGAAGUUCUAGA
rnacentral:rRNA from 1 species